rnacentral:rRNA from 1 species
UACAGAGGGUGCAAGCGUUAAUCGGAAUUACUGGGCGUAAAGCGCACGUAGGCGGGUAUUUAAGUCGAUUGUGAAAGCCCCGGGCUUAACCUGGGAACUGCAGUCGAUACUGGAUGCCUAGAGUAUGGUAGAGGAAGGUGGAAUUCCCGGUGUAGCGGUGAAAUGCAUAGAUAUCGGGAGGAACAUCAGUGGCGAAGGCGGCCUUCUGGACCAAUACUGACGCUGAGGUGCGAAAGCGUGGGGAGCAAAC